rnacentral:rRNA from 1 species
CUUGGAAGCAGCAAUUCAUUUAAAGAGUGCGUAACAGCUCACUAGUCGAGCGUUCUUGCGCGGAAAAUAAUCGGGCAUCAAGAUAUCUACCGAAGCUUUGGAUUCAUAGUAAUAUGAGUGGUAGGGGAGCAUUCUAGAGCGUUGAAGCCGUACUGUGAGGUAUGGUGGAGCGAAGAGAAAAGCAAAUGUAGGCAUGAGUAACGAUAAUUAAGAUGAGAAAUCUUAACGCCGUAAGACUAAGGGUUCCUAGAUCUAUGUUAAUCAGAUCAGGGUUAGUCGGGUCCUAAGGUGUACCCAAGAGGGGAAGCUGAUGGCAAGCCGGUUAAUAUUCCGGCACCUGUAUAUACUGCGAUGGGGGGACGAAGGAGCGUAAGGCUGGCCACGAGACGGAAUACGUGGUUGAAGUGCGUAGAUGUUGAUUCGGUAGGCAAAUCCGCCGGAGAGUUGAAACACGAUAGUAUUCUGAUGACUUCGGUCAUUGGGAAUAAAGCCCCAAGCAAGCUUCCGAGAAAAGCCUCUAAGCUUCAGGUAUAUAGAGCCCGUACCGCAAACCGACACAGGUGGUCGAGGAGAGUAUCCUAAGGCGCUCGAGUGAUCCGUGGCUAAGGAACUAGGCAAAAUAGUCUCGUAACUUCGGGAGAAGAGACUCCAACGCAAGUUGGACGCAGUGAAGAGGCCCAGGCGACUGUUUAACAAAAACACAGGACUCUGCGAAAUCGUAAGAUGAAGUAUAGGGUCUGACACCUGCCCGGUGCUGGAAGGUUAAGGAAGGUGCUUAGCGCAAGCGAAGGUAUUGACUGAAGCCCCAGUAAACGGCGGCCGUAACUAUAACGGUCCUAAGGUAGCGAAAUUCCUUGUCGGGUAAGUUCCGACCUGCACGAAUGGUGUAACGAUCUGGGCGCUGUCUCAGCCACGAGCUCGGUGAAAUUGAAGUAUCGGUGAAGAUGCCGAUUACCCGCAACGGGACGGAAAGACCCCGUGAACCUUUACUAUAGCUUCACAUUGAGCUUGGAUGCAGGAUGUGUAGGAUAGGUGGGAGACUAUGAGUAUGGUACGCCAGUACUGUAGGAGUCGUUGUUGAAAUACCACCCUUCCUGUAUUUAGGUUCUAAUCCGGGAUGACCCGGGGACAGUGUGUGGUGGGUAGUUUGACUGGGGUGGUCGCCUCCAAAAGAGUAACGGAGGCUUGCAAAGGUGCACUCAGCAUGGUCGGUAAUCAUGCGUAGAGCGUAUUAGUAUAAGGGUGCUUGACUGAGAGACCGACGGGUCGAACAGGAACGAAAGUUGGCUAAAGUGAUCCGGUGUUUCCGCAUGGAAGGGACAUCGCUCAAAGGAUAAAAGGUACUCCGGGGAUAACAGGCUGAUCCUACCCAAGAGCUCAUAUCGACGGUAGGGUUUGGCACCUCGAUGUCGGCUCGUCACAUCCUGGGGCUGGAGAAGGUCCCA